rnacentral:rRNA from 1 species
UAGGGAAUCUUCGGCAAUGGACGGAAGUCUGACCGAGCAACGCCGCGGGAGUGAAGAAGGUUUUCGGAUCGUAAAGCUCCGUUGUUAGAGAAGAACGUUGGUAGGAGUGGAAAAUCUACCAAGUGACGGUAACUAACCAGAAAGGGACGGCUAACUACGUGCCAGCAGCCGCGGUAAUACGUAGGCUCCGAGCGUUGUCCGGAUUUAUGGGGCGUAAAGCGAGCGCAGGCGGUUUUUUAAGUCUGAAGUUAAAGGCAGUGGCUUAACCAAUGUACGCUUUGGAAACAGGAGGCCUUGAGUGAAGAAGGGGAAAGUGGAAUUCCAUGUGUAGCGGUGAAAUGCGUAGAUAUAUGGAGGAACACGAGUGGCGAAGGAGGCUAUCUGGUAUGUAACUAACACUGAGGCUCGAAAGCGUGGGAGGAAAACAGG